UUACGACCAUAUCACAUUGAAUCGACGGUUCCCAAACGAUCACCGAGGUUAAGCAAUGUCUAGCCUGGUCAGUGCCUAGAUGGGUGACCGUUUGAGAAUACUAAGUGCGGUAAG